UUAACUGGGAUUAGAUACCCCACUAUGCUUUGCCCUAAACAUUGAUAGUUCAAUACAACCACUAUCCGCCUGGGAACUACGAGCAUAGCUUAAAACCCAAGGACUUGGCGGUGCUUUAGAUCCACCUAGAGGAGCCUGUCCUAUAACCGAUAACCCCCGUUAAACCUCACCUUUCCUUGUUUUCCCCGCCUAUAUACCGCCGUCGCCAGCUUACCCUAUGAAGGUCCAUUAGUAAGCACAAUUGGCAUAGCCCAAACGUCCAGGUCGAGGUGUAGCGUAUGGAAAGGGAAGAGAUGGGCUACAUUCCCUAUUAUUAGUGAACUACGGAUAAUCUCACUGAAACGUGAAUCUUGAAGGAGGAUUUAGCAGUAAGCAGAAAGCAGAGUGUUCUACUGAAGCCGGCUCUAAAGCGCGCACACACCGCCCGUCACCCUCAA
rnacentral:rRNA from 1 species